rnacentral:lncRNA from 1 species
CCAUGAUGGAUUAUCGCUAUCAACUUCCAGGGCUUCCUUUUUGUAGAGUAAAUCCUCUACAUAGGCUUCCCAGCUUCAUGCCAUCAGGAUGCUGCUAUUCUUUCACUAGAGAUGCUUCUGCCAGAAGUGGCACAUUGGAAGAAGAGGAGGAAGAGGAAGAAGUGGAAAUAGAAGGAAGAGAUGGUCUGAGAUUGGAGAUUAAAAUUAUUACAUGUGUGACCAGCAUUACCUAUCAACAAGCAUAGUUAUAUUGUUUCAUAUACGAUAACUAAAAUAAGUGAAUGUUUUUUCUCCAUUGUAAUGAUAUCCAUAUAUAUUCUUAAAUCUCUUCUCUGCAAAUAUAUUUUUCUUGUAAAAGGAGAAUAAGUAACUCAGCUUACUGGCAGAAUGAAUCCAACAGGCAGUCUGAACUCUCGGCUGUUCCUUUUUUUUCCUUGUUUCAGUAACUCCGGCAGUUGGUAACAUUUGGUUGUUUGUU